rnacentral:misc_RNA from 1 species
AUAUUCAUUUAUUAAGUACUAGAAACAGUAAUAUAUAUACAUAAUGUUAUGCAAAUACAUAAAGAAGAGGUCAAAUUAACACAUUCACAUAGUCGAACAGGUAAAUGUAUCGGCAUCGUUGUGUCGUAUGGUUUUCCUUGCCCCACCCUUCUUUUUCGUAUCGUAAUGCUGCACACCUUGAUUUCGUGUAUUACGUACUUUUGCACCUCACGGAUAUGAGAUAGGUCAUAUCACAACAGUUGUUAUUAUAUAUUUAUAAGUAUAUAAAAAUAGUCGAAUGAAUAUUCAAUACAAUGAUUUGGCAAUUAAUUAUUGUGGAAAGUGAAAAUGAAUUCACAGGACACAACCGAUAAUGUCUCAACAAUAAAUUCACCUAACAUAUCUACAAGAACCAAAAAUUGGGUCCAAUUUGAAGAUGAAACACCUGUUAAAGAUAAUGGCACUUUGGAAGAAAAAACUAAAAUAAGUGCUGCAGCUGUAAUAAAACCUGAAUCAGUUACAGUAGAUGUUGAGAAAAUUGGUAAAAAUGUUGAUAAAGUAGAUAAUCGACAAAUGAAAAACAAUGAGUAUAAAGGAGCUGUGAUAUCAACUGAAUCCGUCCAGAUUAAUUUAGAUAGAUCAGGCUUAAGUCGGUCUAUCACAUCCGAAAGUCCAGAUCUUAAUUUGCCGUCCGAAAUAAAAGUUUCCGAUCCUAAAAGUGCUUCUCUGAAAACAAUCGAUCUCCGAGAUGUGUCUAAUGGCAGAAGUGCUAUAAAUAAUAUUAUAAGUACACCUAUUGGAAAUAUUAGACAAGGUUUUGCUAAUGGGGAUACUAUAGUUACUCUUUUACCAGUUAAUACUAGAUGGCCAUGGAUCACUCCUGCCAAAUUUCGACCAGAAUUAGUUCCAGAGGAAUUAAUGGCUCAAGGCUUAACGCUUACAGUAGAAGAUUACGUACAUAUUAUGGAGUUGCUUGUGAAUGAUGUACGUUUUAAUAUGUACAAUGUAUGCUACAAAAGAAUCCUUGUCCUUUGGAUAUUUACUGCAUUUAUUGUAUUGCUUGGCUUAUUAUUUUCUGGAGUAACUGGCCUUACUUUAUUUGGGCUCGGCAUUAUGUGGUUAGUCCUAAAUGCUGCUGCAAUAUUCUUUUGCAUGUUUAUCAAGAUAAAAUUAAAUCAUAAUCUUGAGAAAUGUAUGGCUCAAGUCAACAAGCAUUUACUUCGACAUAAAAUAUUGCUUGGAUUGGAUGAUAGAGGGAAGAUUUCUUGUCACAAAGUCAAUCUCUGUUUUAUAUAUUUUGAUACCACAGAUUGCAUCAAAAAAUUACAAGAAGUUAUAGAACGUGAAGAACGCGAGGGAAGAAUAAUCGGCGAAGAUGGAAAUUCUGAAAUGCGUAGGAAAAGGGAAUUACAGCAGCGAAUGGAUAUUGAUGAUAGCGAUAUUGUCAUACAGGGCAGCACAACCACUAGAAUCUCUCGUAAGCAGGAACGGGCGGAGUUGCUGUUGCUGAGGUAUGCAUCUCGAUGGGCACACCACUUUGUGCGCCGCAGACUUGAUCUGGUUAUAGACUCACAGGAACGAAAUAGAGACAUCGCCGGUCUAUCUGUUUCUCCACGACAUUGUGUCUCCGCCCGUUGUCCUUGUCAAUUCAUUGAGGACCAUCUCAAAUACAAGCCUAGAGGUAUUUGUUACUAACCACUGACUAAUCCAGGGAUCUGUUGCUUGCAUGCAGCUGGACAAAAGACAGUGUGCUUUGAUAUUUUAUCUCGCAAUCAUUCACAUAUUGUGAAUACAUGAAAAUCAUUCACAAAUUGGUACAGGUGAUACCCACCUGGCUUUACAUGGUGUGCUUAUCUUAAUGACCCAUUAGCUAGGUAUGAUGUUACAUUAGGCGUCCCUAAUUAACAGUGUUA